GAGCGUGAAUCGGAAUUACUGGGCGUAAAGCGUGCGCAGGCGGUUUUGUAAGUCAGAUGUGAAAUCCCCGGGCUCAACCGGGGAACUGCGUUUGAAACUACAAGGCUAGAGUACGGCAGAGGGGGGUGGAAUUCCACGUGUAGCAGUGAAAUGCGUAGAGAUGUGGAGGAACACCGAUGGCGAAGGCAGCCCCCUGGGCCGAUACUGACGCUCAGGCACGAAAGCGUGGGGAGCAAACAG
rnacentral:rRNA from 1 species